rnacentral:rRNA from 1 species
UAUAGAUGGAUCCGCGCUGCAUUAGCUAGUUGGUAAGGUAACGGCUUACCAAGGCAACGAUGCAUAGCCGACCUGAGAGGGUGAUCGGCCACACUGGAACUGAGACACGGUCCAGACUCCUACGGGAGGCAGCAGUAGGGAAUCUUCCGCAAUGGGCGAAAGCCUGACGGAGCAACGCCGCGUGAGUGAUGAAGGUCUUCGGAUCGUAAAACUCUGUUAUUAGGGAAGAACAUAUGUGUAAGUAACUGUGCACAUCUUGACGGUACCUAAUCAGAAAGCCACGGCUAACUACGUGCCAGCAGCCGCGGUAAUACGUAGGUGGCAAGCGUUAUCCGGAAUUAUUGGGCGUAAAGCGCGCGUAGGCGGUUUUUUAAGUCUGAUGUGAAAGCCCACGGCUCAACCGUGGAGGGUCAUUGGAAACUGGAAAACUUGAGUGCAGAAGAGGAAAGUGGAAUUCCAUGUGUAGCGGUGAAAUGCGCAGAGAUAUGGAGGAACACCAGUGGCGAAGGCGACUUUCUGGUCUGUAACUGACGCUGAUGUGCGAAAGCGUGGGGAUCAAACAGGAUUAGAUACCCUGGUAGUCCACGCCGUAAACGAUGAGUGCUAAGUGUUAGGGGGUUUCCG